rnacentral:lncRNA from 1 species
UGCCUUGACUGAGUAAGUCAGAGAAGGCUUCCUGGAGGAGAGCGAAGGGUGUGGGGCUGGGUUGAGAUACAGGAAGAUCUGGGUUUGAAUUAUAGUUUGGCUGCUUCCUAGCUGUUUGAUCUUGGACAAAACUUUCAUUCAUUCUAUAUUUUUUGGAGUGUCUACUCCAUGCCAAUCAUGUGUGAAAUGUUGGGAUAACAAAGGCGAAUUCAAUCUGGCUCUCGUCCUCGGAGCUUAAGCAAAUCAUCUGGGGUAGCGUGACCCAUGCUACGAUGGAGGUGGAAUACGGGGCUGCAGGGCGGGGCCACAGGACAUAGUGGGCAGCUUAACCUCCUUGAGCCUCCCUAUCCCUAAUUCACGUGAUGGGGUUUGUAACCACUUCUCACAUCGUUGAGAGAAAAGGGUGAGCCUGACUCAGAGGUGUGGCAAAGGAAGGGCAGGGCAGGCUUUAAGGACAGGGACAGGGCUGUCAGAGGCUGAGGCUAGGGAGGGGCAGGAAGGGGUGUGAGGCAGGGCGGAAGAGAGCAGGGCCCUGGGCAGGUGCUGAGCCAGGUCCUGCAGGUCACCCAGUCGCUUGAGUCCACGAAUGCUGGAGGCAGGCACUGGAGAGCCAGGGUGGUUCAGCCGCAGCUCCUCUGAGCAGGGAGUCAAACAGGGCUGAAACAGACACCAGCUCUCCAGGACCAGCUGGAGCCUGGACCUGUGGCCUUCCCUGCCUCCACCUGGGCCUCAACCGUCACGACCACCUGGCCUUUGAGGUAGGGUUUGGAGAAGGAAGUCAGCCUAUUAUCAGGAGAAGGCUUGAAUUUCUAUAUUCAUAGCUUGUUUCUGUCACUUACUAGCCUUGUGAUCAUGGGCAACUUGUCUAAUCUCUGUCCCUCAGUUUCCUCCUUUGUAAAAUAGGUCUCAUAGAACUCAUCCCCAAAAGUCCUUGUGAAGAUUUAGUUUGUAAGCCAGAUGUCUGCAGACCUCCAGUAAAAGAAUAUGUUUUUGGUAUUAGUAUGUAUGUCCCAAAUAUUGCUUGGAAUAUGCUUAUACAAACAAAAAUCAUUUGUUUUUUAUCUGAAAUUCAAAUUUACCUGGAUGUCCUGUAUUUUAUCUGGAAACCCUACACAGAAAUCAAAUGGCUCACGCUGUGUCUCAGAGCUGCAACGAUCCAACGCCCUCCAUCCUUCAGAGGCUGUCUGAGUCCGGGGACACAACUCCCACCCUCCUCUCCUGCCAGCCGCGGCCCGUGGCUGCUCUCUUCACUUCGUCCCGCUUCGCCCCGACUGUGGAUCUACCCGCUCCCUUCUCCCUCAGUCCCCAAAGCACCAGACUCACAGGCCUGCUGUGUGACCCACUUUUACCGACCUUUCGGGGAGAGUAGAGGGCAUUUGUGACUCAGCUCAGAGCAGGAAACACAUCUCACGUCAACUGUCAGACAGCGCUGCUCCGAAUCCCAUCACAGUGCUCCAGCAGGGGGCGUCCUCACCGGCCGCGGCCACAGCCACGGCUCAACCCGGCCUAGCUCCCAGACACCCUCCUUCCACCGCCUGUUUUCCACCGUCCCCGCCUGCUCUUUCAAGCCAGCAGCAAACAACACCCUAAUCCGUGUCUUUAUUAUUCAAAGACCUUAAGCACUCUUUCCCACCUCGUUCCCAUCUUGAUUAUUUCAGGGAAUGAAUUAGGGAUUCACCUUUACAAUCAAAAAAGUUCUCUCAAAGCCAGGCUACUGGAGUUCUAAUUCUGCCUUCCCACUUUUACUAGCUGUGAAAUCUCAGGAAAGUUACUUAACCUCUCUCUGUCUCAUUUUCCUCAUCUUUAAAAAACAGGAUGAUAAUAUUUAGCUCCUAAGAUGGUUGUGAGGAUUUAAGUGAGCUGAUAUAUCCAAGAAUGUCUAGAACAGCGCGUGGCAGAAUGGGCAUUGCAUAUGGGUUUAAUCUUGUAACUGCCAUGUUUCACCAAUUCUAAGGUGUAUCUCGUUUCUCAUCAUAAGAGCUCUUCCGCUCGUGUGGCAGCUGGGAGUGGCCGUCAUUGCCUGCGCAUACCUAAACUUGGUCAGCAGCCAAGUGUUUUGUGAGACCUAAGAAAGGAAGAGCCCCAUAAGUAAAUGGAACUGUUGUGUUGUUUUAUUACCGAGAAAAGGGCAGAAUGAUUGCUAGUCACACGUGAAGCAAGAAAACCCCGGCAAUAAAGCUUGCAGAAUGAGUGGCUGAGGCUUGAAAAUAAAUGGUGGAAACAAUAGUGGACAAUCUUUUAAAGAAUGGCACAUUGCCAAUGCUCCUGAUGGCACAGAAGGUGACACCAUGCAGAAAAUCAAGGCUCUGAGUCAAAGAGGGUUUCAGAAAAAUUGGACUCUGAAUGUGAAGAAAUCUGGGGACUAUUUUAGCCAAUUUGUUUUGCCUAUAAUUUCCUUUUAUGCAUGCAAAAGAGCAAUUCUGAC